rnacentral:rRNA from 1 species
CUACGUGCCAGCAGCCGCGGUAAUACGUAGGGCGCGAGCGUUGUCCGGAAUUAUUGGGCGUAAAGAGCUUGUAGGCGGUUGGUCGCGUCUGCUGUGAAAGGCUGGGGCUUAACCCUGGUUUUGCAGUGGGUACGGGCUAACUAGAGUGCAGUAGGGGAGACUGGAAUUCCUGGUGUAGCGGUGGAAUGCGCAGAUAUCAGGAGGAACACCGAUGGCGAAGGCAGGUCUCUGGGCUGUAACUGACGCUGAGAAGCGAAAGCAUGGGGAGCGAACAGGAUUAGAUACCCUGGUAGUCCUAGCCGUAAACGAUGGACACUAGGUGUGGGGGAAUAUUUCUUCCGUGCCGCAGCUAACGCAUUAAGUGUCCCGCCUGGGGAGUACGGCCGCAAGGCUAAAACUCAAAGGAAUUGACGGGGGCCCGCACAAGCAGCGGAGCAUGUGGUUUAAUUCGAAGCAACGCGAAGAACCUUACCAGGGCU